rnacentral:pre_miRNA from 1 species
CGUUAAAAAUUUCAUCCACUUUUACUGUUAAAAACUAGCGUGGUCGAUGGAAUAAAUAGACAGUGGCAUGUGACAUGCCACAUGUACGUCAUGCUGAUGUAUGGGGACCAAUUUUUAACAACAAAAAUGGAAUUUUUAACA